GAUGAACGCUGGCGGCGUGCUUAACACAUGCAAGUCGAACGAAGCAUUUAAGACAGCUUCCUUCGGUUUGAAGUCUUUUAUGACUGAGUGGCGGACGGGUGAGUAACGCGUGGGUAACCUGCCUCAUACAGGGGGAUAGCAGCUGGAAACGGCUGGUAAUACCGCAUAAGCGCACAGUACCACAUGGUACAGUGUGAAAAACUCCGGUGGUAUGAGAUGGACCCGCGUCUGAUUAGCUUGUUGGCGGGGUACGGCCCACCAAGGCGACGAUCAGUAGCCGACCUGAGAGGGUGACCGGCCACAUUGGGACUGAGACACGGCCCAGACUCCUACGGGAGGCAGCAGUGGGGAAUAUUGCACAAUGGAGGAAACUCUGAUGCAGCGACGCCGCGUGAGUGAAGAAGUAGUUCGCUAUGUAAAGCUCUAUCAGCAGGGAAGAUAGUGACGGUACCUGACGAAGAAGCUCCGGCUAAAUACGUG
rnacentral:rRNA from 1 species